UACGUAGGUGCGAGCGUUGUCCGGAAUUACUGGGCGUAAAGAGCUCGUAGGUGGUUUGUCGCGUCGUCUGUGAAAUUCCGGGGCGUUAACCUCGGGCGGUGCAGGCGGAUACGGGCGAAUAACUUGAGUGCUGUAGGGGAGGACUGGAAUUCCUGGUGUAGCGGUGGAAUGCGCAGAUAUCAGGAGGAACACCGAUGGCGAAGGCAGGUCUCUGGGCCACUACUGACGCUGAGAAGCGAAAGCAUGGGAGCGACAGGAUUAGAUA
rnacentral:rRNA from 1 species